rnacentral:rRNA from 1 species
UGCAAGUCGUAAAGGGGAUAGACACGAGCUUGCUCUGUGGAUCAGUGGCGAACGGGUGAGUAACACGUGAGCAAUCUGCCCCUGACUCUGGGAUAAGCGCUGGAAACGGCGUCUAAUACCGGAUACGAGCUGCGACCGCAUGGUCAGUAGCUGGAAAGAAUUUCGGUCAGGGAUGAGCUCGCGGCCUAUCAGCUUGUUGGUGAGGUAAUGGCUCACCAAGGCGUCGACGGGUAGCCGGCCUGAGAGGGUGACCGGCCACACUGGGACUGAGACACGGCCCAGACUCCUACGGGAGGCAGCAGUGGGGAAUAUUGCACAAUGGGCGCAAGCCUGAUGCAGCAACGCCGCGUGAGGGAUGACGGCCUUCGGGUUGUAAACCUCUUUUAGCAGGGAAGAAGCGAAAGUGACGGUACCUGCAGAAAAAGCGCCGGCUAACUACGUGCCAGCAGCCGCGGUAAUACGUAGGGCGCAAGCGUUAUCCGGAAUUAUUGGGCGUAAAGAGCUCGUAGGCGGUCUGUCGCGUCUGCUGUGAAAACCCGAGGCUCAACCUCGGGCCUGCAGUGGGUACGGGCAGACUAGAGUGCGGUAGGGGAGAUUGGAAUUCCUGGUGUAGCGGUGGAAUGCGCAGAUAUCAGGAGGAACACCGAUGGCGAAGGCAGAUCUCUGGGCCGUAACUGACGCUGAGGAGCGAAAGGGUGGGGAGCAAACAGGCUUAGAUACCCUGGUAGUCCACCCCGUAAACGUUGGGAACUAGUUGUGGGGUCCAUUCCACGGAUUCCGUCACGCAGCUAACGCAUUAAGUUCCCCGCCUGGGGAGUACGGCCGCAAGCUAAAACUCAAGGAAUUGACGGGGACCCGCACAGCGGCGGAGCAUGCGGAUUAAUUCGAUGCAACGCGAAGAACCUUACAAAGGCU